rnacentral:rRNA from 1 species
UUGCUCUUCAACGAGGAAUGCCUAGUAAGCGCAUGUCAUCAGCAUGCGUUGAUUACGUCCCUGCCCUUUGUACACACCGCCCGUCGCUACUACCGAUUGAAUGGCUCAGUGAGGCCUUCGGACUGGCCCAGGGAGGUCGGCAACGACCACCCAGGGCCGGAAAGUUGGUCAAACUUGGUCAUUUAGAGGAAGUAAAAGUCGUAACAAGGUCUCCGUAGGUGAACCUGCGGAGGGAUCAUUAAUCGACGAAGUGCGUAGCUAGACGCCCGACCGGUUUCGACCCCCGGUAACCCCGGGGGGCGGCCGAUCAGCGUGCUCAGUUACCAGGCCACUCACCGGAGCGCGCCCCUGCGGGGGUAGCGUGGGGAGGGGAGAGCUCCCGCUAAGGUUGUAGCCGACCCCGUUUGUACCUGCGCCCGUGAUGGUCGGAUCUUCAUCAAAACCCUUUGUUGUCCGACUCUGUUGCCUCGGGGGCGACCCUGCCCUUCAUUGGGCUCGGGGGACCCCCGGUGGACAUUAACCAAACUCUUGCGUAUCUUUGUCGUCUGAGUGAUUUUAUAAAUCAAAUUAAAACUUUCAACAACGGAUCUCUUGGUUCUGGCAUCGAUGAAGAACGCAGCGAAAUGCGAUAAGUAAUGUGAAUUGCAGAAUUCAGUGAAUCAUCGAAUCUUUGAACGCACAUUGCGCCCCUUGGUAUUCCGGGGGGCAUGCCUGUUCGAGCGUCAUUUCACCACUCAAGCCUCGCUUGGUAUUGGGCGACGCGGUACGCCGCGCGCCCCAAAUCGACCGGCUGGGUCGACCGUCCCCUCAGCGUUGUGGCAACUAUUCGCUAAAGGGUGUCGCGGUCGGUCACGCCGUAAAACAAGACCUCAUUUCUAAGGUUGACCUCGGAUCAGGUAGGGAUACCCGCUGAACUUAAGCAUAUCAAUAAGCGGAGGA